GGGGCUGUAGCUCAGCUGGGAGAGCGCCUCAAUGGCAUUGAGGAGGCCGACGGUUCGAUCCCGUUCAGCUCCACCA
rnacentral:tRNA from 1 species